GAUGAAGAACGUAGCGAAAUGCGAUAAGUCAUGUGAAUUGCAGAAUUCAGUGAAUCAUCGAAUCUUUGAACGCACAUUGCGCCCGCCAGCAUUCUGGCGGGCAUGCCUGUUCGAGCGUCAUUUCAACCCUCGAGCCCCCCCGGGGGCCUCGGUGUUGGGGGACGGCACACCAGCCGCCCCCGAAAUGCAGUGGCGACCCCGCCGCAGCCUCCCCUGCGUAGUAGCACACACCUCGCACCGGAGCGCGGAGGCGGUCACGCCGUAAAACGCCCAACUUUCUUAGAGUUGACCUCGGAUCAGGUAGGAAUACCCGCUGAACUUAAGCAUAUCAAUAAGCGGAGGA
rnacentral:misc_RNA from 1 species